rfam:Euryarchaeota archaeon RBG_19FT_COMBO_69_17 rbg_19ft_combo_scaffold_101, whole genome shotgun sequence.
GGGCUCGUGGUCUAGUGGUCAUGACGUCACCCUGACACGGUGAAGGUCACCGGUUCGAAUCCGGUCGAGCCCA